GCUGUUUAAGGCCUGAUCUAGGUUGUUUGAUGCUGAUCCGACAACCAAAACUAAGGGACGCAUAUGGGAUGUGGAAUAGAGAGCUUUGACACACCCAGGACACUUGUUACGUGAUGUAAUCAGUAGAUAAUUAAGAGAUUUGAUACUAAGAGACCAGGAAAGCUAUAAAAAGGGAUCCAAGCAUAUAAGAAAAAUCAUCCA
rnacentral:lncRNA from 1 species